rnacentral:tRNA from 1 species
GCCCGAUUGGCUCAGUGGCAGAGCACGUUCUUGGUAAGAACGAGGUCGCCGGUUCGAUUCCGGCAUCGGGCU